rnacentral:rRNA from 1 species
GAUCCUGGCUCAGGAUGAACGCUGGCGGCGUGCUUAACACAUGCAAGUCGAGCGAAGCAAUUUAAGUGGAGUUUUCGGAUGGAUCUUAGAUUGACUGAGCGGCGGACGGGUGAGUAACGCGUGGAUAACCUGCCUCACACAGGGGGAUAACAGUUAGAAAUGACUGCUAAUACCGCAUAAGCGCACGGUACCGCAUGGUGCAGUGUGAAAAACUCCGGUGGUGUGAGAUGGA